UUUGUCGCGUAACUCUGCUCCGGCACUCCGGCAGCCCUGUUCCGUACGAGGCUGUCCGGCAACACCGUCCGAGUUGCCACCCUGCGCGAUCACCUGACUGGCAGCUCAGUGAUCAGAUGCUGAGUGGGAGGCUCCCGGCGAGGACCGUAAACAGAAAAAGAAAGAAAAAUUUGAGUGAGAAAAUUGUUUUGCUUUAACUCCACCAACAAUGUGUAUAGCGGAAGGCGCCAAACAAGAGUUCACCCCUCUCCCCCUCCUGCACGGAGCGCACUGGAUAUGCCCCUGCAACUGAACGGGUGGUCGGCGAGGGCCGAUUUCAUACGCAUUGCCAGGCGUGGCGCGGAUUUUUUUGCCGGAAAACUUGGAGCUCGUGAUAAACACAACCGCACUUGGAAAACACUCAAACGAGAGCGUCAUACAUAUGUACAUACAUAUGUCUGUAACUAAUAUUCCUACUUCUACCAGCUGAGCUUUCAUGCCUGACAUAUGCACAUGCAUACCAACGCACAUACAUAUGUGCGAUACACUGUGAUACACAGUGUAUUCUAGUGAGUGCGGUCGUGUUUUUAAAUCGUUCCGUAUAAUUCAGUGGAAAACGUCGGAAGUUAGCCUGGAAAAGAGGCAAAGAGUUGUUAGCGCGAGCCAUAGUAGUGCUGCGUUACUUACCUGCGCGGAUCGCAAGUCCGCAAGCAGAGAAGCGGCCACCUGGCCAAUAGUACUGGCCGAAAUCCCAGUGGGACGCCGUCGAGCCCUAGGCCGAAGGGGGGGGAAGGAACAGCAGGUAAGUGCCUGUUUUCCUACUCUUCUUCGCUGUGAUUCUUGGCGCCACUUGUUGGUUGCUGCCUUCUUUUUGUUUUUGGGCAAAA